rnacentral:rRNA from 1 species
CCUACGGGUGGCAGCAGUGAGGAAUAUUGGUCAAUGGACGAGAGUCUGAACCAGCCAAGUCGCGUGAAGGAUGACUGCCCUAUGGGUUGUAAACUUCUUUUAUAUGGGAGUAAAAUGUUCCACGUGUGGCUUUUUGUAUGUACCAUAUGAAUAAGGAUCGGCUAACUCCGUGCCAGCAGCCGCGGUAAUACGGAGGAUCCGAGCGUUAUCCGGAUUUAUUGGGUUUAAAGGGAGCGUAGGUGGAUUGUUAAGUCAGUUGUGAAAGUUUGCGGCUCAACCGUAAAACUGCAGUUGAAACUGGCAGUCUUGAGUACAGUAGAGGUGGGCGGAAUGCGUGGUGUAGCGGUGAAAUGCUUAGAGAUCACGAAGAACACCGAUUGCGAAGGCAGCUCACUGGACUGCAACUGACACUGAGGCUCGAAAGUGUGGGUAUCAAACAGGAUUAGAUACCCCAGUAGUC